GAUGAACGCUGGCGGCGUGCCUAAUACAUGCAAGUCGAGCGAACAGACGAGGAGCUUGCUCCUCUGACGUUAGCGGCGGACGGGUGAGUAACACGUGGAUAACCUACCUAUAAGACUGGGAUAACUUCGGGAAACCGGAGCUAAUACCGGAUAAUAUAUUGAACCGCAUGGUUCAAUAGUGAAAGACGGUUUUGCUGUCACUUAUAGAUGGAUCCGCGCCGCAUUAGCUAGUUGGUAAGGUAACGGCUUACCAAGGCAACGAUGCGUAGCCGACCUGAGAGGGUGAUCGGCCACACUGGAACUGAGACACGGUCCAGACUCCUACGGGAGGCAGCAGUAGGGAAUCUUCCGCAAUGGGCGAAAGCCUGACGGAGCCACGCCGCGUGGGUGAUGAAGGUCUUCGGAUCGUAAAACUCUUUUAUUAGGGAAGAACAAAUGUGUAAGUAACUAUGCACGUCUUGACGGUACCUAAUCAGAAAGCCACGGCUAACUACGUG
rnacentral:rRNA from 1 species